CUGAUCCAGCCAUGCCGCGUGUGUGAAGAAGGCCUUUUGGUUGUAAAGCACUUUAAGCGAGGAGGAGGCUACCGAGAUUAAUACUCUUGGAUAGUGGACGUUACUCGCAGAAUAAGCACCGGCUAACUCUGUGCCAGCAGCCGCGGUAAUACAGAGGGUGCAAGCGUUAAUCGGAUUUACUGGGCGUAAAGCGCGCGUAGGUGGCCAAUUAAGUCAAAUGUGAAAUCCCCGAGCUUAACUUGGGAAUUGCAUUCGAUACUGGUUGGCUAGAGUAUGGGAGAGGAUGGUAGAAUUCCAGGUGUAGCGGUGAAAUGCGUAGAGAUCUGGAGGAAUACCGAUGGCGAAGGCAGCCAUCUGGCCUAAUACUGACACUGAGGUGCGAAAGCAUGGGGAGCAAACAGGAUUAGAUACCCUGGUAGUCCAUGCCGUAAACGAUGUCUACUAGCCGUUGGGGCCUUUGAGGCUUUAGUGGCGCAGCUAACGCGAUAAGUAGACCGCCUGGGGAGUACGGUCGCAAGACUAAAACUCAAAUGAAUUGACGGGGGCCCGCACAAGCGGUGGAGCAUGUGGUUUAAUUCGAUGCAACGCGAAGAACCUUACCUGGUCUUGACAUAGUAAGAACUUUCCAGAGAUGGAUUGGUGCCUUCGGGAACUUACAUACAGGUGCUGCAUGGCUGUCGUCAGCUCGUGUCGUGAGAUGUUGGGUUAAGUCCCGCAACGAGCGCAACCCUUUUCCUUAUUUGCCAGCGGGUUAAGCCGGGAACUUUAAGGAUACUGCCAGUGACAAACUGGAGGAAGGCGGGGACGACGUCAAGUCAUCAUGGCCCUUACGACCAGGGCUACACACGUGCUACAAUGGUCGGUACAAAGGGUUGCUACCUCGCGAGAGGAUGCUAAUCU
rnacentral:rRNA from 1 species